GGCUGCGGCGCUGACGGAAGUGACGAACGCCGUGGGGGGCGAGGUGGGCGCGAGCUCCCGGAUGCUGUGGGGUAGCGCCGGUGCUGGGAGAUGUGCACUGACCCACAGAAUGAAACAAUAGCGCUCAAAUAGCGAAAUAAUAAAUAAUAACCCAGCUCGUCCGCCCGAGGCGUGGCCCCCGCCCCCACCUGGUCGCUGUAAAACACUGUGUGAACAAGAGUUGGUUUUAUUUCUUUUUUUUUAAUUUUUUUUUCCCCGGCCGCGCAGGAUGAGCGCCGUGCCUGAGGAAGUUAAGGCAGAAGAUGGCAAAGCGGAGCCCGAGAAGAAGCUCUUUUACUGCGAUGUUUGUAAAAUUUACUGUAUGUGCGCCAUAAGUCUUCAGUCACACUACCGUGGUGCGAAGCAUAGGAGGCAAGAGAAAGCCAUGAGACGCAGGAAUCUCUAUUGUUCUUCGGCUCUAAUCCAAGUUCCGAUGAAGUACCGAGUGCUCAGACGAGUGAAGAGAUCAUUCACAGGGUACAUAACCUGUCUGAAGGAUUUUGUGAAUGAUCCCAGAAGAGAAGAGCCUCUAGUUGGUUUAGAACAUGUGGUUGAAGUCAGAUUUGAAGGAAGAAGAGAGCCACGCUACGAGUGCAGGCUGUGUGGGUGUAAUUCAGAGGUGGCACCUAUGAUAGAACAUCUUAGUGGAUAUAAACACAGAAGAGAAUACAUUUCUAAAGAAUUUCCAGAUAAAAUAAAGAAAAAAACAAAAGAUACAAAAGAAUGCAAAGUCUCGUUUUUCAGACGAAUAGCAGGAGAGCUGGAGAAGAGUGAAGGAUUAAAAAUGUAUAAGACGGAAGGUUACAUAAGACCAGCUACCUCAUGUAAGUGUGUGAAUUUCUUGAAUAUAAUAGAUUCGAUGUAAUUGAUAUUUGGCCUAAUUUGACUUACUAGUUGAACUCAAAGGGUUUGACUGAUGUAAAACAUUCAACUUGUAACACCACAGAAUGUUUUCAGAGAUUUUUCUGGUUUUUGUGAUUUUGAAGUGAUGAAAGAAGGAAAUUGCCAGACUUCCAGUCUUCUUUAGAUUUUUUUAACUUCUUGGUUCCGGAAGUAUUUUUGAUAACUGCGGUAAAUUUGCUCAUCAAGGAAAGUAAAAAAGUAUGGAAAAGUGGUACUUGAUGGCUUUCUCUGAAUAAGCUGAUAAAGUCUCCUCUACCUCAUUUACAUCAUCAGAAGACUUAUGCUAAAUCACUGGUGAAAGUGGAAAUUACCAUUUUUUAGCAAAUCCAUUGGAACAAGUGAUGGAAACCACAGCCACAAACAUAAACCCAGCAUCUUCCCUCAUACAGGAUGGCUGAGUUACAUCUUUUGUUACUGUAGCUGUGCUGUAGAUCCUUAAUGAUGCCAGACUGGAGGAAUAACCUCCUUGCUGCCUUUUGACCCUCGUGUUAAUAUCAGAAGGAAGGUGGGUUUGAUUGAAGUGGGUGAAGGUUUCAAAGAUCUACGGAAUUGGUCAGCGUGAGUCCCGCUGUAGGAGCCUGUCACAGCAGUACUUUUUUUUUUUCUUCUUUUUAUUGGUCAUUGGGGCUUCUGUGGCUUGUACUUUUAAAUGUUGGUCUGCAAAACAAGGUGACAAAAGUCUUUGAUCUCUGUGUCUCUUGGGAAGAAGAGGGAGUGUGACCCGAUAAUUAGCUGAGUAAUUCUCGGUUCAGAGUAAACUGACAUCAGUCAAGUCAGCAGACUUCUGUAGAAGUGGAAGACACGGCCAAAUAUCAAUCUAGAACAUGAAAAAGAGUGAUCCCACCCAGUCCUACAGGAUAUGAAACUGAAAAAAUGGACAAGAGGGAAGUUACCUGCAAGAGUGUUGUGCCUUUCAGUAUAAAGGUUUGCUCUGGUUAGGAAGUGAAUUCCAAAAAAACCCC
rnacentral:lncRNA from 1 species